rnacentral:rRNA from 1 species
CCAAGGAGCCUAGCGUGUACGCAAGUCUUUCAGACUUAAAUAAACUAGGCUGGCGUAAUGAAAGCAAAAAGUGUAAAUUUGUACAAAAGUUUACAUAGCUAUUAGGUUAAAUAUUUAAUUUUUUAUAUUUAAUUGAAAUAGCAAUACGAUAUUUUUAUGUCGUAUUAGAGCGUACACGAUAGUACCCGAAAGAUGGUGAACUAUGCUUGAGCAGGGUGAAGCCAAAGGAAACUUUGGUGGAAGCCUGUAGCAAUUUUGACGUGCAAAUCGAUUGUCAGACUUGAGUAUAGCGGCGAAAGACUAAUCGAACCAUCUAGUAGCUGGUUUCCUUCGAAAUUUCCCGCAGGAUAGCAAGCACAAAAUAAAUCAUUUAAACCUGUUACAGUCUCAAUAGAAGGUAACGGGGCGUUAAUAGACCUUGUCCUUUUCCUAAACUUGGUCAAUGGGUUAUGUUAUAAUACAUGACUUACUACACGCUUAUUGCGUGUAGGAUAUUGUAAAAAUGGUUGUGCUUAGUGGGCCAUUUUUGGUAAGCAGAACUGGCGAUGUGGGAUGAACCGUACACAGAGUUAAAGUGCCUAAAAUUUAUACGCUAAGAAGAUCCCAUUAAAGAUGUUGUUCGCUAGAGACAGUAGGGCGGUGGCCAUGGAAGUCGGCAUCCGCUAAGGAGUGUGUAACAACUCACCUACCGAAGCGUUCAACUCUGAAAAUGGAUGGCGCUUAAGCGUUUUACUGAAACUCUGUCGUAGGAAGUAAAACCUCAUUAAGAGAAAUUAAAUAAAACUCCUACGAGUAGGAGGAAUGCGGUGAUGGCGUCGAAGCUUUAGGCGUAAGCCUAAGUGGAGCCGUUGCUGAUACAGAUCUUGGUGGUAGUAGCAAAUAAACAAGUGACAACCUUGUUGACCGACGUGGAUACGGGUUCCAUGUGAACAGUAUUUGGUCAUGGGUUAGUCGAUCCUGAGAGGUGCGGCGAAAGCCGUUUCGUAAGAAACAAUCCUUGAGAUUGUACCUCAAAAGGGAAUGAGGUUAAUAUUCCUCAACCUUGUAUGUGGAAUUUAUAUAAGGCGGCAACGCAUUCGAACUCAGAGACGUCAGCCAAAGUUCUGGGAAGAGAUUUCGUCUCUUUUUUAAGGUGUGCUGAGUCCCUUGAAACAGUUUAGCUGGAGACAGGGAUAUAUGCACCGAAAUGCACCGCGCUUCAAGUGGUGUGUCAGUGUACUUUGGUUGGCCCUUGAAAAUCUGGGGGAGUGUAUGUAAACCACUACAAGAUCGUACCUCGAUCCGCAACCGGUAUCCUAGGUAAACAGCCUCUGGUCUAAUAGAAAAAUGUAAGNNNNNGUUUAAUUAAAACAUAGCAUUGAGAUUUGACUGGUGACCCAGUGUUGACUCAAUGUGAAUUCUGCCCAGUGCUCUGAAUGUCAACGUGUAGAAAUUCAAUGAAGCGCGGGUAAACGGCGGGAGUAACUAUGACUCUCUUAAGGUAGCCAAAUGCCUCGUCAUCUAAUUAGUGACGUGCAUGAAUGGAUUAACGAGAUUCCAUCUGUCCCUACUUACUAUCUAGCGAAACCACAGCCAAGGGAACGGGCUUGGCGAAAUCAGCGGGGAAAGAAGACCCUGUUGAGCUUGACUCUAGUCUGGCAUUGUGAGGAAACCGUAUUUGGUAUAGCAUAGGUGGGAGAUAGUCGUAAGAUUAUCGUUAUAAACUGUAAAACCACCACAAUACGGCACCACUCACUGACUUAGUUAUGAGGCUUACUUUGUGUUAUUUUGAAAAAAAUAAUGCUAAGGAACCUACACAAAUAGCAAACUAAGUCGAAAUGGUAAGUUUGUUAUUAGUUUAUGUUUCGGCAUAAAUUAAUACAACUUACAAUUAACUUUUCGUCGAGGCAUUAUCUAAGGACAGUGCCAGGCGGGGAGUUUGACUGGGGCGGUACAUCUAUCAAAUGCUAACGUAGGUGUCCUAAUGUUAGCUCAGUGAGACCAGAAAUCUCACGUAGAAUAUAAGGGUACAAGCUAGCUUGAUUCUGAAUAACAGUACGAUUGCGAGACAAGAAAUUGUGGCCUAACGAUCCUUUUGAGAAGCUAAAUAUUAUCAAUGCAUAAUACAAGAGGUGUCAGAAAAGUUACCACAGGGAUAACUGGCUUGUGGCGGCCAAGCGUUCAUAGCGACGCCGCUUUUUGAUCCUUCGAUGUC